UACGGGGGGAGCAAGCGUUGUUCGGAUUUACUGGGCGUAAAGGGCGCGUAGGCGGUCAGCACAAGUCAGUUGUGAAAUCUCCGGGCUUAACUCGGAAAGGUCAACUGAUACUGUACGACUAGAGUGCAGAAGGGGCAACUGGAAUUCUCGGUGUAGCGGUGAAAUGCGUAGAUAUCGUAAGGAAGACCAGUGGCGAAGGCGGGUCUCUGGACAGUUCCUGACGCUGAGGCACGAAGGUCAGGGGAGCAAACGGG
rnacentral:rRNA from 1 species